UUUCCAUACCAGUCACAGGGAGAACAGCUGAGGAGAGAGGGCAUGAAGCUGUCAGGCUAUGAGCCCUGACCAGGAGAACUUCUGGGAUCCUGAGCCCUCCCAAAGGUGGAUCAUACAUUCUCCUGGAGUCAUCAAUUCUUUCCACGGCAGCUGCUGGUGCCAGUUUCCAUGCUGCUGCCAUCAGAGGGCAGUUUUGAUCCUCUAUACCAGCACAGAUCCAUUUGUGGGGCUUCUGGGAACCC